AGGAAACCUGUUCAAUAAAGCUUGUAAUUCUUGAAGGACCGCCAUGUAUUGAGCCCCUUCUUCAACAACUUGCAUGACAUGUUUAUGUAGAUGAUUGUAUAAUUCCACAGGAUUAUUCAACGCGGUAGGAUGUGUUGUGAUGGAAUAUCUUCUACACCAUUAUAAUUCAGUACAUUCAAUGCAUGUCUGCAUAAGUAUUCCUUUAAAGUUAAACAAACUGCAAAUACAACGUACUUCUACUUGUGUAGUCUCAUAGAGAACCUCAAACUGCCUGAUCUCCUUCGGAUUCUACUCUUUCUUUGACAAUAAACGUCAUUAUUGGCCCAGCAAUGUUUACUUGUCUUGUGAUAAAAAGCAAGAAUGCAUUUCCUCUAACUUCUUUUUGAUACUGCUUGAAUAUUUCCUUUGUGAAUAUCCGCGAGAGUUGCUGCUCAAAUCUGCAUUUUGUUUUCAGUUCAAAGCUUGAACUUCUUGACUCCAUAUCAGCCAUUGCUUCUUUCAGGUAUUUCCUUUGCAGGGCUAGAUCAUACUUAUCAACAAA
rnacentral:misc_RNA from 1 species